AAAUUAGAGCUAAUACGUGCGUAAAUCCCGACUUCUGGAAGGGACGUAUAUAUUAGAUAAAAGGCCGACCGGGCUCUGCCCGACCCGCGGUGAAUCAUGAUAUCUUCACGAAGCGCAUGGCCUUGCGCCGGCGCUGUUCCAUUCAAAUUUCUGCCCUAUCAACUUUCGAUGGUAGGAUAGAGGCCUA
rnacentral:rRNA from 1 species